UGCCCGAUAGCUCAACUGGCAGAGCCGUGGAUUGUUGCUCCACUGGUUGCAGGUUCGACCCCUGCUCGGGUAG
rnacentral:tRNA from 1 species